GAUGAAGAACGCAGCGAAAUGCGAUACGUAAUGUGAAUUGCAGAAUUCAGUGAAUCAUCGAAUCUUUGAACGCAUAUUGCGCUCUCUGGUAUUCCGGAGAGCAUGCUUGUUUGAGUAUCAGUAAACACCUCAACUUCCAUAUCUUUUUUGAAAUGGGAGUUGGACUUGAGUGAUCCCAACGCUUUUCCUCACCGAAAAGUGGCGGGUUACUUGAAAUGUAGGUGCAGCUGGACUUUUCUCUGAGCUAUAAGCAUAUCUAUUUAGUCUGCCUAAAAAACAGAUUAUUACCUUUGCUGCAGCUAACAUAAAGGAGAUUAGUUCUUGUGCUGACUGAUGCAGGAUUCACAAAGACAGGCUUCGGCCGACUUUGUAAACUCGAUCUCAAAUCAAGUAAGACUACCCGCUGAACUUAAGCAUAUCAAUAAGCGGAGGA
rnacentral:misc_RNA from 1 species